rnacentral:rRNA from 1 species
AGCGAACGCUGGCGGCAGGCCUAACACAUGCAAGUCGAUCGGACCCUUCGGGGUUAGUGGCGGACGGGUGAGUAACACGUGGGAACGUGCCUUUAGGUUCGGAAUAGCUCCUGGAAACGGGUGGUAAUGCCGAAUGUGCCCUUCGGGGGAAAGAUUUAUCGCCUCUAGAGCGGCCCGCGUCUGAUUAGCUAGUUGGUGAGGUAAAGGCUCACCAAGGCUACGAUCAGUAGCUGGUCUGAGAGGAUGGCCAGCCACAUUGGGACUGAGACACGGCCCAAACUCCUACGGGAGGCAGCAGUGGGGAAUCUUGCGCAAUGGGCGAAAGCCUGACGCAGCCAUGCCGCGUGUAUGAUGAAGGUCUUAGGAUUGUAAAAUACUUUCACCGGUGAAGAUAAUGACUGUAGCCGGAGAAGAAGCCCCGGCUAACUUCGUGCCAGCCGCCGCGGUAA